rnacentral:rRNA from 1 species
GGUUAAGUGAAUAAGGGCGCACGGUGGAUGCCUUGGCACUAGGAGCCGAUGAAGGACGGGACUAACACCGAUAUGCUUUGGGGAGCUGUACGUAAGCUAUGAUCCAGAGAUUUCCGAAUGGGGGAACCCAGCAUCUUUUAUAGGAUGUUACGUUUGCGUGAAUACAUAGCGCAUUCGAGGUAGACGCAGAGAACUGAAACAUCUAAGUACCUGCAGGAAGAGAAAGAAAAUUCGAUUCCCUGAGUAGCGGCGAGCGAAACGGGAAAAGCCCAAACCAAUGAGCUUGCUCAUUGGGGUUGUAGGACUCCGAUAUGGUAGUUCUUUCAGAUAGUCGAAUGACUUGGAAAAGUCAGUCAAAGAGGGUAAAAACCCCGUAGAUGAACCGGGAGGACCAUCUCCCAAGGCUAAAUACUCCCUAGUGACCGAUAGUGAACCAGUACCGUGAGGGAAAGGUGAAAAGCACCCCGGAAGGGGAGUGAAAUAGAACCUGAAACCGUGUGCCUACAACAAGUCAAAGCCCGUUAAUGGGUGAUGGCGUGCCUUUUGUAGAAUGAACCGGCGAGUUACGAUUGCAUGCGAGGUUAAGUUGAAGAGACGGAGCCGCAGCGAAAGCGAGUCUGAAUAGGGCGUUUGAGUAUGUAGUCGUAGACCCGAAACCAUGUGAUCUACCCAUGUCCAGGUUGAAGGUGCGGUAAAACGCACUGGAGGACCGAACCCACGUACGUUGAAAAGUGCGGGGAUGAGGUGUGGGUAGCGGAGAAAUUCCAAACGAACUUGGAGAUAGCUGGUUCUCUCCGAAAUAGCUUUAGGGCUAGCCUCGGAAUUGAGAAUGAUGGAGGUAGAGCACUGUUUGGACUAGGGGCCCAUCUCGGGUUACCGAAUUCAGAUAAACUCCGAAUGCCAUUCAUUCAUAUCCGGGAGUCAGACUGUGAGUGAUAAGAUCCAUAGUCGAAAGGGAAACAGCCCAGACCACCAGCUAAGGUCCCAAAAUAUAUGUUAAGUGGAAAAGGAUGUGGGGUUGCACAGACAACUAGGAUGUUGGCUUAGAAGCAGCCACCAUUUAAAGAGUGCGUAAUAGCUCACUAGUCGAGUGACCCUGCGCCGAAAAUGUACCGGGGCUAAACAUAUUACCGAAGCUGUGGAGUACACCUUUAGGUGUAUUGGUAGGAGAGCGUUCUAAGGGCGUUGAAGGCAGAUCGUGAGGACUGCUGGAGCGCUUAGAAGUGAGAAUGCCGGUAUGAGUAGCGAAAGACAGGUGAGAAUCCUGUCCACCGAAUGACUAAGGUUUCCUGGGGAAGGCUCGUCCGCCCAGGGUUAGUCGGGACCUAAGCCGAGGCCGACAGGCGUAGGCGAUGGACAACAGGUUGAUAUUCCUGUACUCGUUGUUUUUGUUUGAGCAAUGGAGGGACGCAGGAGGCUAAGGAAUGCAGACGAUUGGAAAUGUCUGUCUAAGCAGUAAGUCUUGAUAGGAGUCAAAUGCUUCUAUCUGUACGGACAAGCUGUGAUGGGGAGGGAAAUAAUAGUACCGAAGUUCCUGAUGUCACACUGCCGAGAAAAGCUUCUAGUGAGAAAACAACGACCCGUACCGCAAACCGACACAGGUAGUCGAGGAGAGAAUCCUAAGGUGAGCGAGAGAACUCUCGUUAAGGAACUCGGCAAAAUGACCCCGUAACUUCGGGAGAAGGGGUGCUGAUCUAAGAUCAGCCGCAGUGAAUAGGCCCAAGCGACUGUUUAUCAAAAACACAGGUCUCUGCAAAAUCGUAAGAUGAAGUAUAGGGGCUGACGCCUGCCCGGUGCUGNNNNNNNUUUGGGCACUGUCUCAACGAGAGACUCGGUGAAAUUUUAGUACCUGUGAAGAUGCAGGUUACCCGCGACAGGACGGAAAGACCCCAUGGAGCUUUACUGUAGUUUGAUAUUGAGUGUCUGUACCGCAUGUACAGGAUAGGUAGGAGCCGUAGAAAUCGGAACGCUAGUUUCGAUGGAGGCGCUGGUGGGAUACUACCCCUGCGUUAUGGCCACUCUAACCCGCACCACUGAUCGUGGUGGGAGACAGUGUCAGAUGGGCAGUUUGACUGGGGCGGUCGCCUCCUAAAAGGUAACGGAGGCGCCCAAAGGUUCCCUCAGAAUGGUUGGAAAUCAUUCGAAGAGUGUAAAGGCAGAAGGGAGCUUGACUGCGAGACCAACAAGUCGAGCAGGGACGAAAGUCGGGCUUAGUGAUCCGGUGGUUCCGCAUGGAAGGGCCAUCGCUCAACGGAUAAAAGCUACCCUGGGGAUAACAGGC